UAUUGUCGACUCCGACUCUUCCUCCGCGGAGCACGCCGGGAAACGGCCAGCUGCGGGGGAGGGGCGCACCGGGAGGCGUAGGUUAUCGUUUGCGCAGGACCGGAAGUCUGUAGGCUGCCGGGAAAGGGGCGGCUCCGCCUCCGGUGGCGUUGGGCUUGCCUGGCAACUUGGCUGUCCUGCCCUGACCUGGGAGGAUUUUGCUGGUGUGUGCUAGUCGCCGUCCUGGCGCGAACUUCCCCAAGGGUCUCAUUAAGUUGCUUAGGGCCUUGCUAAGUUGCUGAGCUGGCCUCAAACUUGGGAUCCUCCUGCCUUGGCCUCGCAAGUCACUGAGAUUACAAGCCUGCACCACUGCACCUAGCUCUGACCUUAGUUCUUUAUGACUUCUUUAAGGAAAUACUUGCUGAUCAUUCUUUGAAUGUAUAUUGCUUUUAUUUUCCUUUUAAUAUUUGUACAAGAGCAAUAUGAUAAAAAUGUAUGAAUGAAGCCUACCAAAGCUUUUUAAAUACAUACAAAAUAAAAAGUUAUGUGAUUUUUUUCCUUUGUGUGUACAUUGUCUGUAUUUUUACCACUACAUCUUUGAAAAUGUAUCAUCAUUUAUAACUUAAAAUGUCUUCUGUUAUUUAUCAUACACAAUUAAAGAUUCUUACCCAA